UCUGAGCGUGUACAACUCUGUUUCCUUCAAUCAAGCAAACAGAACCUUGCCUUCUUCCUUGCUUCCUCUGCUUUUCUAUUAUUUCCUAGAAUCCUGCAAGUUUUCUAUGCUUUUUUUUUUUCACCUCUGCUUUGCUUUGCUUUUUUUUUCCCUUUGCUACGCGAUGGUUUUCUUUCCUUUUUGCCUUUUCCCUCCUAGUUGCUUUUUGUGUCUUUUUGAGUUAUUUUUCAUUCUUCUUUUCUCUGUCUUUGGCUUGGUUUGCUUUUUUCUUUAUUUUUCUUUGCUUUGCAUUGCUUUUUUACUUCCUUUUCAUUGACUGGCGUUGCUUUACUUGUUUGGAUGUUUUCCCUGUUUGUUUUUUUUUCAGUUUUUUUUUUCCCUAAUGUUUUUCUUUGUUUUUCACAGCUGUGCUUUGCUUUUUCUUUCACUGUUCUUUUUUUUUUUUUUUUUUCACUUUGGUUCCUUGCAUGGUUUUUCUUUGCUGUGCAUUUCUCUGCCUUGUUUUGCAUUGCUCUUUCAUUUCUUCUAUUUUCCUUAAAUUUCUUUGUUUUUCUUGUCUUUUAUUUGCUUUGAAUUUUCUUUAUUUUUACUAUUUUUUCUUUGCUUUGCACAGCUUUUUAAAUUAUUUUUCCAACGUUUCCAAUAAAUUCCCACCUUUUCCCAUGCUUUCCUAUUUAUUUUUCUUUACUCUAGCUUUCCCAUCCUUUACCAUCUUUUUCCACCCUUUCCCAUGUUUUCCCAUUUUUAACCAUGCUUUCCAAACUUAUGCCUUUCUUUCCUACUUUUCCCACAUUUUCUUAUGCUUUCCCAACAUUUGUCCUACUUUUCCCAGCUUUUCCCUUGCUUUCCCACCUUUUCCUGUCUUCUUUUCUUAUCAUUUAUUUUUCUGCUACUCAAGCCAACUCUCUCCACUAUCCUGCACUGCUUUCCAGUUUUGCAUGGAGCAGUGGGCUGUGAGAUGGGCCAUGUUCUGCUUCCCUCACUGCACCGGGAGGGGCCUUUGUGCAGCACCAGACGUGCAUUUCCUAGAAGUACGUGAUGGAGCACAUCCUGGGAUCAAGGUGCCAUGGUCAGGAAAAUCCUGCUCUGGAUGUACAGGCUUGUCUGAGUUCCUGUCCAAAGACCAGGACCCAAGAAUGCGGAGGCAGAAGAACAACGAUAUGUGAGGUAUCUAUGGGUGUAUCUGUAUAUCUGCACAGCAGGCCCAGCUGCCCCUGCUUCCCCUCUCCAUGGGAACUGCCCAUGCUGCCACUCUCAGAGUCUCUUCUGGCCACAGUGACCUGGGGCAAUUCCCCCUCCAUCUGCUCUUGCCCUGCCUGGUGCCCAUCCCCACAGCAAUUCCCGGUGCCGGCACGGGCAGCGCAGGCGAGCUGUGUUCAACGCCCUCUGCAUCCCGCUGCACAAAGGAUUUCAGGCGGAGGCACAGCAAA
rnacentral:lncRNA from 1 species